UGGCUAAGGUGUCUUGGCUAAUGUGUCUUGGCUAAGGUGUCUUGGCUAAGGUGUCUUGGCUAAGGUGUCUUGGCUAAUGUGUCUUGGCUAAGGUGUCUUGGCUAACGUGUCUUGGCUAAUGUGUCUUGGCUAAGGUGUCUUGGCUAAGGUGUCUUGGCUAAUGUGUCUUGGCUAAUGUGUCUUGGCUAAGGUGUCUUGGCUAAGGUGUCUUGGCUAAGGUGUGUUGGCUAAGGUGUCUUGGCUAAGGUGUCUUGGCUAAGGUGUCUUGGCUAAGGUGUCUUGGCUAAGGUGUCUUGGCUAAUGUGUCUUGGCUAAUGUGUCUUGGCUAAUGUGUCUUGGCUAAGGUGUCUUGGCUAAGGUGUCUUGGCUAAUGUGUCUUGGCUAAUGUGUCUUGGCUAAGGUGUCUUGGCUAAGGUGUCUUCGCUAAUGUGUCUUGGCUAAGGUGUCUUGGCUAAUGUGUCUUGGCUAAGGUGUCUUGGCUAAGGUGUCUUGGCUAAGGUGUCUUGGCUAAUGUGUCUUGGCUAAGGUGUCUUGGCUAAGGUGUCUUGGCUAAGGUGUCUUGGCUAAGGUGUCUUGGCUAAUGUGUCUUGGCUAAUGUGUCUUGGCUAAUGUGUCUUGGCUAAUGUGUCUUGGCUAAGGUGUCUCGGCUAAGGUGUCUUGGCUAAUGUGUCUUGGCUAAGGUGUCUUGGCUAAUGUGUCUUGGCUAAGGUGUCUUGGCUAAGGUGUCUUGGCUAAUGUGUCUUGGCUAAGGUGUCUUGGCUAAGGUGUCUUGGCUAAUGUGUCUUGGCUAAUGUGUCUUGGCUAAGGUGUCUUGGCUAAGGUGUCUCGGCUAAUGUGUCUUGGCUAAUGUGUCUUGGCUAAGGUGUCUUGGCUAAGGUGUCUUGGCUAAGGUGUCUUGGCUAAUGUGUCUUGGCUAAUGUGUCUUGGCUAAUGUGUCUUGGCUAAGGUGUCUUGGCUAAUGUGUCUUGGCUAAGGUGUCUUGGCUAAUGUGUCUUGGCUAAGGUGUCUUGGCUAAUGUGUCUUGGCUAAGGUGUCUUGGCUAAGGUGUCUUGGCUAAUGUGUCUUGGCUAAGGUGUCUUGGCUAAGGUGUCUUGGCUAAUGUGUCUCGACUAAUGUGUCUUGGCUAAUGUGUCUUGGCUAAUGCGUCUUGGCUAAUGUGUCUUGGCUAAGGUGUCUUGGCUAAGGUGUCUUGGCUAAUGUGUCUUGGCUAAUCUGCUUGGCUAAUGUGUCUUGGCUAAGGUGUCUUGGCUAAUGUGUCUUGGCUAAGGUGUCUUGGCUAAGGUGUCUUGGCUAAGGUGUCUCGGCUAAUGUGUCUUGGCUUAGGUGUCUUGGCUAAGGUGUCUUGGCUAAGGUGUCUUGGCUAAGGUGUCUCGGCUAAUGUGUCUUGGCUAAUGUGUCUUGGCUAAGGUGUCUUGGCUAAUGUGUCUUGGCUAAGGUAUCUUGGCUAAUGUGUCUUGGCUAAUGUGUCUUGGCUAAUGUGUCUCGGCUUAUGUGUCUUGGCUAAUGUGUCUUGGCUAAGGUGUCUUGGCUAAUGUGUCUUGGCUAAUGUGUCUUGGCUAAGGUGUCUUGGCUAAUGUGUCUUGGCUAAUGUGUCUUGGCUAAGGUGUCUUGGCUAAUGUGUCUCGGCUAAUGUGUCUUGGCUAAUGUGUCUUGGCUAAUGUGUCUUGGCUAAUGUGUCUUGGCUAAGGUGUCUUGGCUAAUGUGUCUUGGCUAAUGUGUCUUGGCUAAGGUGUCUUGGCUAAUGUGUCUUGGCUAAGGUGUCUUGGCUAAUGUGUCUUCGCUAAUGUGUCUUGGC